rnacentral:snRNA from 1 species
UUAUCUUCUAAGUUUUAUAUCUGUUCUUAUCAGUUUAAUAUCUGAUAUGUCCUUUAUUUGAGGACUGUAUAUUAAAUUGAUUUUUGAAACAGGGAUGGAAUAGGAGCUUGCUCUCGUCCUGAUAUUGUGUUGUCUCCAGAAACGGUGCAUCUCCU